UGGACAAGUUCACGGUGACAUAAACCAAACAGUUUAGGAUGUGUUAUCAAUGCAACAGAUUGGCAGAACCUACCCUUGACGAAACAAAGAUGUGCGAACAAAGAGUUUUAAAACAGCCACUAAGAAUUAUUUGCACAGUUAUGUGAUCACAUUCACUUUUGUCUUAAACACAGCAAGCUUGACUGUUAUUUAUCAUGUUGGUUAUGUAGCAUGUUUUUUUUAUUACAUUGGGUGCAGAUGUAAGUAAUUCUUCCAUUAAUUUCCUUAAAUUGAAACAUUUGAACUGUUCAAUAUAGAUGGCCUGAGUUAAUGCUAAGCAGGAUUCUUCUAAAUUUUAAUUUAAUGAAAAAUCAAUCAAACCAACCUAACCUCCUGAAUAUCAGUAGUUGUUUUUUUUAUUGUUUUUGGGGGGGGGGGUUGGUGCAAGAACCUUAAUAACUAUAACUAUGGAUCCUUCAUAUUGUCAAUAUUUUCUGAGUUGCAUGCUGUAAAUCUGCACAGGUGUGACUCAAAAUUUGGCACUUUGUUUAAUCCAGAAGGAUAUGACGACUAAAAGAAGAUUCAGGUAUCAAAAUGUAGGUUAGAAAAUUAGACCUUUCAAGGCUACAACUUGUUCUGAUCAGCCACCUAUCCUACAUGGUGAUGUGAUCCUAUCCAAAUAACCAUUUGCGUAACAAACAGAUAACUCAUUGCAGACACCAAUGCAUCUCUCUGUUACUCUGCGUCUAUCGAAGACAUUAAAUGCAAUGAUUUGUCCCUUGAUUAUUAAGCUCAAAGGUACACUAUGUUUGGUAUGGUUGGUGGUAUGCAUUUUGAAUACAGUGUCAUACUGCAAGUGCAAAAUUGGUUUUGGGGGAUCUUUUGGGGGGGGGUGUUGCAACAUUGAUUGUGAGUGGGCUUGACUAAAUAAGACAAAAAAAGUUAUGGUGCUGUAAACGAAACACUUUACAAAAUCUGUAGCUCAUUUUUCUAUAUUUGUGCUGCAGGUUUUGACGAGUGUUUUUCUUGUCUUUGUUUUUUUGUAGUGCACAAGUUUGAAAUGCUGUAAGAACUGUUUUCUGUUGUUUAAAUUAUACUGCAUACUUUGAAAAACCAUUCAAGCAUUAUAUUUGUAACAAAUCAAGGUAAGACAUAUACAGUAUUUUAAGAUCUUUUUUUCCUUGUAAAGGCUGCUCAUAAUGUCCUUUGCUAAUCAACAUCAAAUAUUUCCAUCUUACGUUUAUAGCUCUGGGUGGAUGUAUUAAAAGUAAAGGUACAUUUAGUUUACUGUGUUUUGUAUGUUUUAUAAAAACUGCCCCUCCUGUUUCACUGUAUGAAUUUUUUUCUUCCCCACAACAGGGUCUGUUCUCACAUUUUAAGCUAGUCAUCCAUUA
ensembl:lncRNA